UAGGGAAUCUUCUACAAUGGGCGAAAGCCUGAUGGAGCAACGCCGCGUGUGUGAUGAAGGGUUUCGGCUCGUAAAACACUGUUGUAAGAGAAGAAUGACAUUGAGAGUAACUGUUCAAUGUGUGACGGUAUCUUACCAGAAAGGAACGGCUAAAUACGUGCCAC
rnacentral:rRNA from 1 species